rnacentral:lncRNA from 1 species
CCAAUCCCGGCAGGGAAUUAAUCAGCCUGGGGAUUUGACCUCCUGCAGCCGAACAAGCCUCUAGGGGACAAAACCCACAAAUCCGAUUCCUCUCCACCCACCCCACACCUAAGCUCAAAUACGACGCAAAUCGAUUGCCCAUCUAGUCCUCUCUCCUGUGCUCUCGAUUUCAUCACAGCAGGACUAAUUUCGCGCCCCGCACAUCAACUUGCGAGGAGCAGAGGGAGGGAGGUUAGGCGGCUACCAGAUCACGGAUGUCUGGGUGGCCAACGCCGACUGGAGGACAAGAGCCAAAGUGGAAGAGAUCAGCUCUCCUCGGCAGAGGAGGAUGGGAGCCUUGGGGCGGCCCGGGUGGAGGAGGAGAACCGGAGGUCGCUUCGUCCGGUUCGGUGAUGGCGGAUGGAUUCUCUCGUGUGUUUGUAUUGCAUUUUGUUUUUUUUGAGUGGAUUGUAUGCAUGUUUUCAAGGCAAGGAACCUUAAAUUCCCUAUAUGUUGUACUGCUUGAACUAGCUUAUUCGAGUUGACGCAGUGCCAGAUUUAUACCCAGUUUCAGCUGUGCAGCUGCAUUCUUAAAUUGUUAGUGGCUCUGUCCAGUCAUCAAACUAUGGUGCUAGCCAAGGUCUUGAAAAACAUAUCUUGCCUCAAGGCACG